ACGGGUGAGUAACACGUGGGUAAUCUGCCCUGCACUCUGGGAUAAGCCUGGGAAAUUGGGUCUAAUACUGGAUAUGACCUUUCUCCUUAUGGGGUUUGGUGGAAAGUUUUUCGGUGUAGGAUGAGCCCGCGGCCUAUCAGCUUGUUGGUGGGGUGAUGGCCUACCAAGGCGACGACGGGUAGCCGGCCUGAGAGGGUGAUCGGCCACAUUGGGACUGAGAUACGGCCCAGACUCCUACGGGAGGCAGCAGUGGGGAAUAUUGCACAAUGGGCGGAAGCCUGAUGCAGCGACGCCGCGUGAGGGAUGACGGCCUUCGGGUUGUAAACCUCUUUCAGCAGGGACGAAGCGUAAGUGACGGUACCUGCAGAAGAAGCACCGGCUAACUACGUGCCAGCAGCCGCGGUAAUACGUAGGGUGCGAGCGUUGUCCGGAAUUACUGGGCGUAAAGAGCUCGUAGGCGGUUUGUCACGUCGUCUGUGAAAUCCUAGGGCUUAACCCUGGACGUGCAGGCGAUACGGGCUGACUUGAGUACUACAGGGGAGACUGGAAUUUCUGGUGUAGCGGUGGAAUGCACAGA
rnacentral:rRNA from 1 species